GGGGUGGGGAGAUCAGACGUCUCUGAGGCAAUGAUCUGGAAGCUGCCACCUACAAGAUAAAGAGUUAGCAAGAUAGAGACAACAGGAAUGAGCUCUCCGACGGAGGGCAUGAACAGCAAGUGCAAAGGCCCUGCGACUCGAAAGAGCAUGAAAGACUGAGGAAACGGCCAGUGUGGCUCCAACACAGUGGAGGAGGGGGGGGAUCCUACUGAGAUAGAGGCCCUGGGCUGAAUAAUUCUCAUCCUUCAAGGCCCAACUCCAGCCAAUGGCACCGACCUCCUGGACCUGCUAGGCAGAAGUGGUGGCUCCCUCUCAGCUGACCCCAGAGCACUUCCUUAGCUCCUGCUGAUCUCAGAGCACACACACCAAUCCACUCUGGCCACUCAGCAAUUUUUCUUGAUGGCCCUGGCAUGGCACCUGUGCUGGGGUCAGACCCUCAACCAGCCCUUCAGUGUUGAAAUGCGCAACCUCAGCCCUCUAGCCUCCGCGGAGGAAGCAGGGCUCUUCAGUUUGGGAGAACCAUAUACAACCAGAAGAAGGGGCCAAAAUAUCUGAAGCCCCCAGGUAGCGGGGCUAAAAGAAAGGGAUAAAUGGCCUCUUCUGUUUUUUUUUUCUUUCUUUGUUUUUGUUUUUACUGGAAACAACUCUAAGGGGAGACUGGUCCCAGGGAAGAUGAUCCCCUGAAAGGCUAGUAAGCAGAUCACCUUUGAAUGUCAAGGGCAAAAUCAUUGUUGGUGUCCUGUGCUCCCUCCAGGAGCUGGCUCCUCCACAGCUCUCAGGAAUGACAGUAAACACAGACGGCCCUGCAUGUAUUCAGGCUAUGGCCGCCUUCCUCCUGGGCUGCACAUCAGGCUAACAAGCCCAGCCCUCAGCUUCACAGGGAUUGGAGAGCUGGUGACCCUAGUCAAGGAAGCUGGUGACCCUGGAUCAGUUGCCUCCCCUCUCUGUGCCUAAAUCCCCCGCCCCACUUCUGUCAGUUAGGAGGAUGAUGCCUUCUUCAAAGUGUUGUCAUAAAGAUUAAAUCCUUAUUAAAGUCU